AUUCCCUGGGAAUCUUGUUAAAAUGCAGAUUCUCAUUGAGUGAUUGAGUAGGUCACAAGGGGCCUGAGAUUCUGCAUUUUUAACAAGUCCCCGGGUGACACUGA
rnacentral:pre_miRNA from 1 species